ensembl:lncRNA
CGUCAAGAUGGAUUUGCCACGGUCCAUAGAAUCACCAGGAGAGUCAGCCCCUGAACAUUGCGCUGGCUCCAGCCAGGGGUCCAAGAGGCCUCAAAGGGGAAAGGAGACAAGAGAGCACCUCGUUCCUCACUGUACUGUCUGCCCCCUACACCGCAGCCUUGCUAAAAUACCUGCACAUCCACCCAGCUGUGUCUCUGGCCUCCAGGCCUUUGCCCAGGCUGUCCCCUCCAUCUAAAACAUCCUCCUGCCUAGGUGGCUGACCACCUCCUCCAGGAAGCCUUCCCUGACUACUGCCAUCCAGGCUGGAGCAUUUCCCCUUUCAUAGAUGCACUCAGUCCGUGUCAUAAAGACCCACUUAUGCGUCAGUCUUCCCCACCAACCUGAGGCUCUGUGAGGGCCAGGACUGCAUUCAAACUGCUUUAUCUCCAGCAUGGACCUGGCAUACAGUUGGCAGUCCAUAUAGGUUAAACUCAUCUCUGAAUCAAUGGAUGGAUAUAGAUGUAGCCCAGAUUCCAUGGACGUCCCUGGUGGUCCAGUGGUUAACACUCUGCUUUCCAAUGCAGUAGUGUAUGAUUUAAUUUGGAAACAAAAAAACAAAACCAAACCCACAACGCUCUUCAGAGUUCCAAUGAUGAAAGGUUUGAAAGCCACUGAGUUCAGCCCUCCCAUGUUGCAGAUGGAAAGAGUGAGGUCCAGAGAAGAGGCGGCACUGGCUCCAGGUCACACAGCGAGCCGGUGGGUGAGCAGGAACUCAAACCUAGGUCUGACCCCCAGGGAAGAGUUUUGCACCAUGGCUUUCUUGAGGGUCUCUGGGGGUCUCCACCCUGGGGCUGCUGGGAGGCAAAGAGGGAGGGUUGGGUAUUAGGCAGGUGUCUUCACACCCUGCAGCCUUCAGCCAGAAUCCACUGCUUUGCCGUCAUAUGUUGGGUUCCAAGGUGUUUGACCAAAUGGUUUUGUGGGUGGGGAGAGCCUGCUGGGAGGUGAUGGGGGAAACACUGGGGAGGGCUUCAGUGGGGCCAAGCAUUUCCUGGAGUGGGAUCCUCCCCCCUCCAUCCCGGUACUACCCUCUUCCCUCUAGCUGUGGUGAGGAGAUGGAUGGGGGGAGCCAGGGC